rnacentral:rRNA from 1 species
AUUGAACGCUGGCGGCAUGCUUUACACAUGCAAGUCGAGCGGUAACAGGCCGCAAGGUGCUGACGAGUGGCGAACGGGUGAGUAAUGCAUCGGAACGUGCCCAGUCGUGGGGGAUAACUACUCGAAAGAGUAGCUAAUACCGCAUACGAUCUAUGGAUGAAAGCGGGGGACCGUAAGGCCUCGCGCGAUUGGAGCGGCCGAUGUCAGAUUAGGUAGUUGGUGGGGUAAAGGCUCACCAAGCCAACGAUCUGUAGCUGGUCUGAGAGGACGACCAGCCACACUGGGACUGAGACACGGCCCAGCCUCCUACGGGAGGCAGCAGUGGGGAAUUUUGGACAAUGGGGGCAAGCUUGAUCCAGAAAUGCCGCGUGCAGGAAGAAGGCCUUCGGGUUGUAAACUGCUUUUGUACGGAAGGAAACGGCUCUGGUUAAUAACCGGGGCUAAUGACGGUACCGUAAGAAUAAGCACCGGCUAACUACGUG